UACGUAGGGUGCAAGCGUUAAUCGGAAUUACUGGGCGUAAAGCGUGCGCAGGCGGUGAUGUAAGACAGUUGUGAAAUCCCCGGGCUCAACCUGGGAACUGCAUCUGUGACUGCAUCGCUGGAGUGCGGCAGAGGGGAUGGAAUUCCGCGUGUAGCAGUGAAAUGCGUAGAUAUGCGGAGGAACACCGAUGGCGAAGGCAAUCCCCUGGGCCUGCACUGACGCUCAUGCACGAAAGCGUGGGAGCAAACAGG
rnacentral:rRNA from 1 species